rnacentral:rRNA from 1 species
UACGGAGGGUGCGAGCGUUGUCCGGAAUCAUUGGGCGUAAAGGGCGCGUAGGCGGCCUGUUAAGUCGAACGUGAAAUCCCCGGGCUCAACCAGGGAACUGCGUCCGAUACUGGCAGGCUUGAAUCCGGGAGAGGGAUGCGGAAUUCCAGGUGUAGCGGUGAAAUGCGUAGAUAUCUGGAGGAACACCGGUGGCGAAGGCGGCAUCCUGGACCGGUAUUGACGCUGAGGCGCGAAAGCCAGGGGAGCAAACGGG